UGGCCUAUAGCUCAGCUGGUUAGAGCGCACGCCUGAUAAGCGUGAGGUCGGUGGUUCGAGUCCACUUAGGCCAC
rnacentral:tRNA from 1 species